UUUCCGUAGGUGAACCUGCGGAGGGAUCAUUAUCGUACAGAAAAAGAGGGACAUGCUAGGGCUGUCGCUGACCAGAAAGUCGUGCACGCAGAGUGUGUCCUCUUGCAUCAUAAUCCGACUCCCACUUUGUGCAUCAACUCUAUGUCUCCCUUCGGAAUCAACAAGGAAAAAGUCUCGAGUUUUGACACAAACCCCCCUUUUACAAGUGUAGAAUGAGCACAUUUGUGCAGUCAAUGCCACUUUCCACAACGGAUAUCUUGACUCUCGCAUCGAUGACGA
rnacentral:misc_RNA from 1 species